AACUGAUACUACCUGCGGGAACCUGCGGAAGGAUCAUUACCGAGUUAGGGUCUCUAUGGCCCGAUCUCCACCCCUGUGUUUAUUAUACCAUGUUGCUUUGGCAGGUCUGCCUUUCGGGGCUGCCGGGGUCUUUGCUGCCCCUGGCGUGCACCUGCCAGAAGCCUUCUUAAAUUCUGUGUUGAAUUGUGUUGUCUGAGUCCCAAUAUUAAAUUAUGAAAAACUUUCAACAAUGGAUCUCUA
rnacentral:misc_RNA from 1 species